CGAACGGGUGAGUAACGCGUGAGCAACCUGCCUAUGACAGUGGGAUAGCCUCGGGAAACCGGGAUUAAUACCGCAUAAAAUCGUAGAAACACAUGUUUUAACGGUCAAAGAUUUAUCGGUCAUAGAUGGGCUCGCGUCUGAUUAGCUAGUUGGUGAGAUAACAGCCCACCAAGGCGACGAUCGGUAGCCGGUCUGAGAGGAUGAACGGCCACAUUGGAACUGAGACACGGUCCAA
rnacentral:rRNA from 1 species